GGCGGGAUAGCUCAGUUGGUUAGAGCGUCGGAUUCAUAACCCGGAGGUCUCGAGUUCAAUUCUCGAUCCCGCUACCA
rnacentral:tRNA from 10 species